rnacentral:misc_RNA from 1 species
GUGAAUUCAAAAUCAUAUUACAUUUAUAACAAAUCAGAAAAUUACCCUAAGAGUUCAAAGAAGAACCCAUUUAUUUAUUAAUAUAACAAACUUUUUUUUUUCUUCUAGUUUUCAAAUUAUAUGUAUAACUUUAACAUACCUAGAAAACUUAAUAUGUAAAGACCAAAUUUAACCACUUAGAUAUUUAAAAUACAUCAAAUUCAAGGGCAUUUAGACUUGCCCUUAGAGUUCUUCUUGUCCCUAUAACAAGGACAUUCAUGUUUGUUACCAUAAGUUCCAGAAGGCACGCAUUUGCAUUCUUCACAACAAAUUCCACAGUAUUUCAAGCAUCUGUCCGCAAGUCCUGCCUUUGAACAUCUCAGCUUGCACUUCGAAUCACAAAAAUAUGAACCAGCCAUAGUAGUUUGAAUGAAAGAAGGGGUAAUAACAAGAGUGACCAAAAAGCAGAGUUAAUAGAAAUAACUUCAUUUUUUCUAAGAUGAAAAUUUGAUGAAG